rnacentral:rRNA from 1 species
ACUCCUACGGGAGGCAGCAGUGGGGAAUAUUGCACAAUGGGGGAAACCCUGAUGCAGCCAUGCCGCGUGUGUGAAGAAGGCCUUCGGGUUGUAAAGCACUUUCAGUAGGGAGGAAGGUAGUGUAGUUAACACCUGCAUUAUUUGACGUUACCUACAGAAGAAGCACCGGCUAACUCCGUGCCAGCAGCCGCGGUAAUACGGAGGGUGCGAGCGUUAAUCGGAAUUACUGGGCGUAAAGCGCAUGCAGGCGGCCUGUUAAGUCAGAUGUGAAAGCCCGGGGCUUAACCUCGGAAUUGCAUUUGAAACUGGCAGGCUAGAGUCUUGUAGAGGGGGGUAGAAUUUCAGGUGUAGCGGUGAAAUGCGUAGAGAUCUGAAGGAAUACCAGUGGCGAAGGCGGCCCCCUGGACAAAGACUGACGCUCAGAUGCGAAAGCU